GAUGAACGCUAGCUACAGGCUUAACACAUGCAAGUCGAGGGGCAGCAGAUCGAAAGCUUGCUUUUGAUGCUGGCGACCGGCGCACGGGUGAGUAACGCGUAUCCAACCUUCCCUAUAGUAGAGAAUAGCCCGGCGAAAGUCGGAUUAAUGCUCUAUGUUGUAUUUAGAGGACAUCUGAAGAAUACCAAAGGUUUACCGCUAUAGGAUGGGGAUGCGUCUGAUUAGGUUGUUGGCGGGGUAACGGCCCACCAAGGCGACGAUCGGUAGCCGGCCUGAGAGGGUGAUCGGCCACAUUGGGACUGAGAUACGGCCCAGACUCC
rnacentral:rRNA from 1 species